UUAAGCGAGACAGGUCAUUCAGACGAAAAGGAAAGCGAAAGAGAUAGCGCUUUAAUCGGUUCACAUUCGUGGUUGAUGAGAAUCGUCGUUUGAUCAAGUCGUGCAAUUACUUCGGUAAUUUCACGUACUUCCGGUCACGAAGCAAUAAGUCCUCACUUAUUCUGAGGGCUUCAAGAACUUCUACUCGUCCAUUCUGACCUGGACCGUGGAAGAGGCGAGAGUGCGUGAUAAUUGUUUAGUGUCGCGGUGUGUUUUAUCUGUGUAGCCAAAGUUAUUGACCUUUGUCAAAGGUUACGUGCGGUCAAAUUGUGUGUGCGAUUCAGUAAAAGAGAAGCCGUUCGACGGCUUUUUAUUUAGGAAUCGCUUCUAGCGAUCCACGGCCCAUACUCGGCACACCGCAUCCACAAGCCAAACGCGACUCUCGACCCCACGCUUCAGCGCACAGAAGUCCCGGUUUGAGGGGAAAGCCGGA